GCUCUCUUUUAAGGCAGUGUCUGGCUAUCUAGUACUCUGGAAUAGGCAAGGGGGAUCAAAUUCAAGAGAAUUCUUCCUUAAUGUUGACCUGCCAAGCAAGAAGGAUCACUGUCAUAUUAAACUCCUGCCCUGGAUUCAAAGCUUGUGAAAACUGUAGGUGUCCUGUUUAAGAAGAGUAUUUCCAGAGAAGAAAAGAAGAAAGGACUCCAAGUGAAUGAAUACCAGACAUCUCCAGAAAGGAAGAGGGAUUUAAAGGCAGUAUUGUGAACUAUAUGGUGAAAUACUUUAAACUCCACCUGAAAAAAUGAAAUGAAUAGCUUGAGUUAAGAUCAUGAUCUAUACUAUAUUUUAUUGGCUAUGACAUAGAAAUGAGGUUCAGCCACAGGAGCCGUGCAUAGUUCAUUGUUCCUCUUGUUACUACAGAGGUCAUUAAACAUCUAUUUCUAGUUCCUCCUA